UAGGGAAUCUUCCGCAAUGGACGCAAGUCUGACGGAGCAACGCCGCGUGAGUGAAGAAGGAUUUCGGUUCGUAAAACUCUGUUGUUAGAGAAGAACAGCGCAUAGAGUAACUGUUAUGCGUGUGACGGUAUCUAACCAGAAAGCCACGGCUAACUACGUGCCAGCAGCCGCGGUAAUACGUAGGUGGCAAGCGUUGUCCGGAUUUAUUGGGCGUAAAGCGAGCGCAGGCGGUCAAUUAAGUCUGAUGUGAAAGCCCCCGGCUCAACCGGGGAGGGUCAUUAGAAACUGGUUGACGUGAGUGCAGAAGAGGAGAGUGGAAUUCCAUGUGUAGCGGUGAAAUGCGUAGAUAUAUGGAGGAACACCAGUGGCGAAGGCGACUCUCUGGUCUGUAACUGACGCUGAGGCUCGAAAGCGUGGGUAGCAAACAGG
rnacentral:rRNA from 1 species